GCGAGUAUUGUAUAAGGGUUAUUAUGUCGAACUUCCAAUUCGAUGAUAUCAGUUCAAAUCUGAUUACUCGUA
rnacentral:tRNA from 1 species